rnacentral:rRNA from 1 species
UGAAUUGACGGGGCCCGCACAAGCGGUGGAGCAUGUGGUUAAUUCGAAGCAACGCGAAGAACCUUACCAGGUCUUGACAUCCCCUGACAACCCGAGAGAUUGGGCGUUCCCCUUCGGGGGACAGGGUGGCAGGUGGUGCAUGGUUGUCGUCAGCUCGUGUCGUGAGAUGUUGGGUUAAGUCCCGCAACGAGCGCAACCCUCGCCUCUAGUUGCCAGCAUUCGGUUGGGCACUCUAGAGGGACUGCCGGCGACAAGUCGGAGGAAGGUGGGGAUGACGUCAAAUCAUCAUGCCCCUUAUGACCUGGGCUACACACGUGCUACAAUGGGCGGUACAAAGGGCUGCGAACCCGCGAGGGGGAGCGAAUCCCAAAAAGCCGCUCUCAGUUCGGAUUGCAGGCUGCAACUCGCCUGCAUGAAGCCGGAAUCGCUAGUAAUCGCGGAUCAGCAUGCCGCGGUCGAAUACGUUCCCGGGCCUU